rnacentral:rRNA from 1 species
AUUGAACGCUGGCGGCAUGCUUUACACAUGCAAGUCGAACGGUAACAGGCCUUCGGGUGCUGACGAGUGGCGAACGGGUGAGUAAUGCAUCGGAACGUGCCCAGAGGUGGGGGAUAACGCAGCGAAAGCUGUGCUAAUACCGCAUGUGAUCUGAGGAUGAUAGCGGGGGACCAAGCAGCAAUGUUUGGCCUCGCGCCUCUGGAGCGGCCGAUGUCAGAUUAGGUAGUUGGUGGGGUAAAGGCCUACCAAGCCGACGAUCUGUAGCUGGUCUGAGAGGACGACCAGCCACACUGGGACUGAGACACGGCCCAGACUCCUACGGGAGGCAGCAGUGGGGAAUUUUGGACAAUGGGCGCAAGCCUGAUCCAGCAAUGCCGCGUGCGGGAAGAAGGCCUUCGGGUUGUAAACCGCUUUUGUACGGAACGAAAAGGCUCUGGCUAAUACCUGGGGCUGAUGACGGUACCGUAAGAAUAAGCACCGGCUAACUACGUG